UACGGAGGGGGCAAGCGUUAUUCGGAUUUACUGGGCGUAAAGCGCACGUAGGUGGCAUGGUAAGUCAAAGGUGAAAGCCCUCGGCUCAACCGAGGAACUGCCUUUGAAACUGCUUUGCUUGAGUCCGGGAGGGGGGAGCGGAAUUCCCAGUGUAGCGGUGAAAUGCGUAGAUACUGGGAGGAACACCGGUGGCGAAGGCGGCUCCCUGGACCGGUACUGACACUGAGGUGCGAAAGCGUGGGUAGCAAACAGG
rnacentral:rRNA from 1 species